rfam:Strongylocentrotus purpuratus Contig54180_fixed, whole genome shotgun sequence.
GGAUGCGUGGCCGAGCGUCUAAGGGCGCUGGUUUAAGGCACCAGUCAUUUCGAUGGCGUGGGUUCGAAUCCCACCGCUGCCA